CCGGCUGUGGUCCAUUUCUUAUCCCGCCACUCGAGCUGACAUUUGAUGCGCUUUUCAUGUCGACUUUGACAUUCAGCCGCCGUCUCUUUUGUAGACGUAAUGUGUUUUCAGAAGGCUUGACAGAUUGACAUUUAUUUGGCGACCAAUCGGCGCUCAGCGGGCGUAAAAAAAAAAGGGUAACGUUAUCGGGAUUGAAAUUUGAUCACGUUUUAAUGGCACAAUUUUUAUCGAACGUAAGAGUCGCAUUUUAACGGCAACGCCGUGCUAGGCUAGCUUGUCGGCUGAAGAACAUCAAAAGGAUCAAAUUUACAGCUUCCACAACUGUCGUUGACUGAUUUUUUUCGGGGUGGGGGGGUGGGUGAAGGUACCCCCGGUCAUGUGUUUUCACAUAUUCGAUCGCAUGUUUUGACUUUGUGGAUUAUUUUGAAGUCUUGUUUAUCUUUCAAUGAUAAAAGGUGGCGGUUAUCAGAUGUAACUCUCGAGGAAUGAUGGCAUAUUUGGACUUUGGUGAUUAUUUAUUUGAAGUAUUUCUAUUGCUUUCUAUUAUGAAAGGCGAUGGUUGUCAAAUGUAGCUGUAGAGGAUCGAUCGCAUGUUUUGACUUUGUGGAUUAUUUUGAAGUCUGUUUAGCUUUCUAUGAUAAAAGGUGGCAGUUAUCAGAUGUAACUCUCGAUAGUCUCUCUCUCAUAUUUUGACUUUGGUGAUUAUUUAGAGUUUCUAUUGCUUUCUAUUAUGAAAGGCGACGAUUGUCAAAUGUAAUUGUUGAGGAUCGAUCGCAUGUUUUGACUUUGUGGAUUAUUUUGAAGUCUGUUUAGCUUUCUAUGAUAAAAGGUGGUGGUUAUCAGAUGUAACUCUCAAUAAAUUAUGCCAUAUUUUGACUUUGGUGAUGAUUUAUUUGAAGUAUUUCUAUUCCUUUCUAAUAUGAAAGGCAAUGGUUGUCAAAUGUAACGGUUGACGAUCGAUCGCAUGUGUUGUGUGGAUUAUUUUAUUUUGUCUGUUUAGCUUUCUAUGAUAAAACGUGGCGAUUAUCAGAUGUAACUCUCGAGGAAUGAUGGCAUAUUUUGACUUUGGUGAUGAUUUAUUUAAAGUAUUUCUAUUGCUUUCUAUUAUUGAAGGCGACGGUUGUCAAAUGUAACUGUUGAGGAUCGAUCGCAUGUUUUGACUUUGUGGAUUAUUUUGAAGUCUGUUUAGCUUUUUAUGAUAAAAGGUGGCGGUUGUCAGAUGUAACUCUCUCAAUAUUAUUUAGAGUAUUUCUAUUGCUUUUUAUUAUGAAAGGCGUCGGUUGUCAAAUGUAACUGUCUAGGAUCGAUCGCAUGUUUUGACUUUGUGGAUUAUUUUGAAGUCUGUUUAGCUUUCUACAAUAAAAGGUGGCAGUUAUCAGAUGUAACUCUUGAGGAAUGAUGGCAUAUUUUGACUUUGGUGAUUUUUUAGAGUUUCUAUUGCUUUCUUAUUAAGAAAGGCGACGGUUGUCAAAUGUAACCGUUGGGGAUCGAUCACAUGUUUUGACUUUGUGGAUUAUUUUGAAGUCUGUUUAUCUUUCAAUGAUAAAAUGUGGCGGUUAUCAGAUGUAACUCUCGAGGAAUGAUGGCAUAUUGCAUGUUAAUGAAUGGUCAGUGACAGGAACAUGAAUACCAGACCAUGAAACGCCUGGAGUGUUUUUCAAUUGAAGAAACUUGACUGCAACACAAACCUUUCACCCUGAGACACUGACAAACAUCUGACAAACCUUUCCGACAAAUUACGCUGUCAUUUUGUAUUUUUGCAAUAAUGACUCCCAUGUGAAAAAGGCCCGUCUUACUCAUCACAGCCAGCAUGUGAUUUGUACUUGGCUUUGUAGUACUUUGAUGGAAGCUGCUAAAACUGGUUCCCUUGCAUAUGAUUGAAGGUGUUGGAGUUUUUUUCCAUAAAACAAAAACACAUUAAUUGCCCGUUUUCUCGCGGUAACUUGAAGGAAACGCGAUGUAAACAAAUUUAUAGCCCUGAAAUGAACGUCAGUCAGGUUUUGAUAAGCCGCUGACAUUUUCUGUCUGCUAACUGAGGGUCAGUUGUCCAUUUUCAUAAAUUGGAGCAUCCGGAGUUUAAAAUAUUUCCUGUUCUUGACCCUGCACGGUUGUUCUUUGACUUGACCCGGAAGCUUCUAGUUACAGAUAAACCUCAAGACGCAGCGACCUCAAACGCAUUUCUCUUGCAGGUAUUGAUGAUUGAUGCCGCCAGGCAGCAGGAGCAUGGGGUGGGCGGGACACAUGUUUGCCCUCCAUGUCAACCUGUGAGUGUGCACUCGUUUAAAAAAAAAAAAAAUCUCCACUGUCUGCACGCUGAAUUAUUUUCAGGCCAGUGUGCAGCGACAGCAAACGUGAUGAAUGAAAGAGCCCCCCCCCUUUGCCCCCCCACCCCCGGGGCCGUCAACACAAUUGAAACGGCGUCUGGUUAUUAGAUCGUCCUUCUUGCACUAACGAUGCUAUUUAGAUGUCUUUUAGUCGCUUUCUCAUGCGCGGCGACUCGCUGAUCGAUACAUCAGAGAUGGUGUGUGUGUGAGGUUCCAGCUGGAUGAGAACAUGUUUGAUUUCCUCUGUUGUGACGGUAGAGCAUUAGCAAUCAUGAGUAGAAAAUGCACAGUGUUUUAUUUGAUUUACAUGAUGCAUUCAUGUGCAAAAAAUGGCCUCAGUUUUUGAAGGAUCUUUUGAACAGAUGAACGAAAAGCAAGCAAGGCACUACAGCAUUUCACUGCUUUAUUUGUUAGCAGGAUUACGCUAACAUACAGUCAUCCCUCGUUUAUCACUGUUUGGUCCCGGAAUCGAAUACGAUAAGUGAAUUUCCGCAAAGUAGGAUCCAAUAUUAAUAAACAUAUUUGUAGUUAGAGCAUGGAAAACCAGUUCAUGACUUUCUAAAUACAAUCUUUCCCAUUGUUAUUCUUUGUUUAAGCCACAUUGCUCAACGCUAAUGCGCAGGCAGUGGAAUAAGACGGCCAUUUUGUUAAACAUUAGCAAGCUAACGAGUUAGCCUCCAAUUUAUUUACUGUAUUCUAACUUGAGAAAGUGUUUAAAACGGAGUGGGUAGAAAGACAAAGAUGCCCAGACCUACCACUUCCACACGGAAUAGGAGGAUAACUCCAUCUAAUAGUACAUUACUGUUGCUUCGUGACCAGAAUACUACAUAUAAUACUAUAAUACUAUUUCUUGACUCAUAAAUACGCCAUAGUCAACCACGAAGCAGCGAGCAUUUAUUCAUUUUUGAAAACCGUGAUCGAGCAGUGGAGCAAUGUUCAAACCAGGGAUGACUGUAUCCGCUUUUUUGGCUUUUUUUUGGUGCCUAUUUGGUUGCUAUGUUUAUUAGCGCCACAUGCAGGACUCCAGUGGAACUGUAGCAUCCAGAAUAUUGUGAGAGUUUUCCCAUAAUUUGUACAAAAGAGCGUUGCUGGACGCCCUCACCCUUUUUUUUGUGCUAUAUUAUGAUACUAAAAAUGCAUAAUUCAAGCUCGGAAAGCACACUGAGAGAGAUUUAUUGUGGGUUUUCCUUGUGUGCGUUGUAUGGAAUAAUUCAAGCUCUCUUCUUUAAAGUAAAGUAAAAUCUCAGAUAUUGGCUCAUUAAAAUCAAAAGCCCUUUUUACGCAGGCACCGCUGUUGGCGCCGCGCCUCAUUCCGUAUAAACCAAUAAGCCUGCUCAUUCACUCAUAACGCUGGAUUGCAUUGCGAUGGAGAAUGGAAGCUCUGCAGAAGACACACCAAAUGAUAUUAAAUGAUACUAAUAAGUCCAAGAGAUCUUGUAUAUUUACAUUUAGUUAACAUUUCUUACCCACUUAUGAUACCACUUUAUGGUAUAGCUGAUUAUUCUAAUGAUAAAGACUUUAUUCAGCCUUAUUUUUGGCAAAAAUACUCAAAUAUUAGUGCAGCAAUGGAUAAUUUCAUCUUGUUUUAUUUAGUUUUUUUCAUCUGACCCUCUAGUGGAGUAUUUCACCAUGUUGGAAUCAUGUUUUUGCAUCAUCUGGCACAAGAAAAUGAAGGUUUUAAUGGCCAGAAAGCAACACAACGGCAGACAAAACACUGACACAUGGUGGCCAUACUAACACACACACACACAUGCAUUUAGCACACACAGCAAUUGAGCGCGACUACAUUAGUGUUCCACUCAAGUGGGGUUUCUCACGUCGCUGUCUCCAUUGCGCAGGAUCGAUGCCCCCCCACCCCCACCCCACACCCACUCGCUUUACAUUUAUCUGGUGAUUAGUCAUGAAGUAAAAAAAAAAAUGACAAAUUGGCUUAUCGGCCCCAGAAAGCUUUAAAAAGAAGGAGGAAGGUCAGAUAUUCCCCAGACGUGACCCCUACUGCUGCUGCUGCUGUUGUUGAUGAUGAUGAUGUAAUGAUGUGCAAGCCCCUCCCCCUCUUCACCUCCUUCUCCUCAUCUCCCCUUGGGGGGGGUCACUGUUGAAGACAUUAAUGAUGGCAGUGCACAGCUAAACACCUGAGCUUUUUUUUUGGUAUUAUUGUUGUGAAGCAUUACAUCAUGGUUGGAGGUGGGGUGAGGUGGGGGGGCAGGGGAGGUGAUGUCACGCCGUGGGUUCCCGUCUCCCCUCCCCGCCUUAAUAUCUGGCUUUGUCUGAGCCGGUUGUGUCUGGAUGAUAAAAUGAAUAUUUUGUGUUGUAUUUGAAAUGGCAUUAUUUGUUCUGUUUUAUAUUUUUUCUUUAUUGCAAUGCUUUAUUUUUCAUUUAUUUUAGAUAUAUUUAUAUUAGUUUGGUGUUGAGAUGCUUUUAAAAAAAUUCAUCAUUGUAACUGUGUUUUGAUAUAGUGUUGUAAAGCUCAAAAAAGUGCAGAAAUUUGACCUUGAAAAAGGGUUAUAAUGUAAGUGUUGAGCAUAAAAAAAUGAUAAUAAUGAGUUAUAUAUCAGAAAUUUGGCAUUUCAGUUAUGAGUAUGACCUCUGUUGCUGUUGUGUUUAUUUGCAAAACGCAUUUCCGUGAAAACAAAGUGGAUGUGGGCCAAAAGAAGAAGUUCGGAAUUUUUUCUACCUGCUUUGACUUUUUGUUGCUUUGACUUUGCAAGAUGGUUGAUUUAAAAUAGUGCUUAUUUGGUGCUGAGCCAAAGCGAGAUUACGUGGCCUUGGCGGAGGGCCGUUCAUUCGUAUAGGUUCUGUGUGGUCGACCAUCUAGUGGAGGAAGGGUUGUUUUUUUUUUGGACAUUAAUGGCGUACAGCUGAGAGAAGCAAAGCGACGUCUCAGUUUUUUUUACUCUCUACCCCUCCUCCUUCUCUUUCACGCUCGCUGUUUCUGUUGCCCCAGCAACCGUGGGCUCCCAGAGGGUGCAAAGCAAAGGCGGGAGGGGUGGGGUGUGCUUGUGCCGAGCUCGGUUUCCAUGGCUACACCAGCUGAGAGGCAGUGACAGAGUGACAUCAUUGUCAAUGUUUUUUUUUCCUCCUUCAGUGCCAUCUUUUUGGCCUGGGAAAAAAUGACAUAGAGCCACCCUUUUUUUUUGGUCUCCUUCAUUGUGUUACCAUGCCAACCGUUUCCAGCCAGGCCCGGAGUGUUAACGCUCGGAGUGAUAAUGGCUGCCACGCUCGCCUCCCUCUCUCUUCCAUGCCAUCUCUGUCUGGGGGCGUUGUAAGCCCUCUAGAGGAGCACACGGCCGCUGCUGGCAAGAAGGAGGUGCUUAUAAUACAACCCCCCCCCCCCCACCUUCACCACCACUCCACAGCCAUCCCCCUCCUCCACCCGUGACACACAUACACACAUGUGCCCACCCCCCACAUUCGGGCUUGCAAACAAACCGCUGUCUUCAUAGAGGAUGCUGCGCUAUCCUAACACUUCUCAUGGUGCCUAAACGCAUCUCGGACGCGGGAGGGGAGAGAGGUGGAGGUGAAGUGGAGGUGCUGCUACUGUGAGCCAAAGUGUUGUCAGGCGUUUUCCUCCUUUAUUUAUUUCCCUCCUCCUCCUUUUCAUCCUCCCCCGUUUUUUUUUUUUUUUCCUGCUCUCGGCGGCAGUGCGCUCGGCCGCGGCUCGCUCCAGCGAGGCUGCAAGGAGCUGCUGCUUCGUCUCGGAUAUUUGCCCACUCCCUGCUGCUUCCUCUUUGGAUUUAACGCCUGAGUGUCGAUCGGGAGAUCUCCGAGACCUGCACAGGAAGCGGUGGAUACUCCCUUAAGUGUCAACCCGCCAAGGGAGGGGAAGAGGGCACGCAGCGUGCAGGGAAAUGGGGGGCUGCGUAGAACACGCCCAGGGAUGUUAGAUUAUUCUGAUAUUUUUAUACCAGAGAGGAGUUUUUCAUGAUGAAACCGUUAGCAGCCGCGGCGGCAGACAGCAAUGGAGUGUCCGGCCAGCAAGACAAAACACCGCUCCCCGCAGACUUCAGCAGACUUCACCUGGCUGACGGCUUACACCCACAGGUGACCCACGUGUCCUCCAGCCACUCAGGAUGUAGUAUCACCAGCGACUCCGGAAGCAGCAGCCUGUCAGAUAUCUACCAGGCCACAGAGAACGAGCCCGGCGACAUGGACCUGAGCGGCCUGCCGGAGACCGCCGUGGACUCGGAGGAGGACGACGACGAGGAGGACAUCGAGCGAGCGUCGGACCCGCUGAUGAGUCGGGAUAUCGUGCGGGACUGCCUGGAGAAGGACCCCAUGGACAGGACGGACGAUGACAUCGAGCAAUUACUGGAGUUCAUGCAUCAACUGCCGGCCUUCGCCAACAUGACCAUGUCUGUGAGGCGGGAGCUCUGCGCCGUCAUGGUGUUCGCCGUGGUGGAGCGCGCUGGCACCAUCGUUCUCAACGACGGCGAGGAGCUGGACUCGUGGUCGGUCAUCUUGAACGGCUCGGUGGAGGUGACGUACCCCGACGGUCGCACUGAGAUUCUGUGCAUGGGCAACAGCUUUGGGGUGUCGCCAACCAUGGAGAAGGAGUACAUGAAGGGUGCCAUGAAGACCAAGGUGGACGACUGCCAGUUUGUGUGCAUAGCCCAGCAGGAUUACUGCUGCAUCCUCAACCAAGUGGAGAAAAACAUGCAGAAGGUGGAAGAAGAAGGCGAGAUUGUCAUGGUGAAGGAGCACAGGGAACUGGACCGCACCGGGACCAGGAAAGGACACAUUGUCAUCAAGGGCACAUCGGAGCGUCUCACCAUGCACCUCGUGGAAGAACACUCAGUGGUGGACCCUACCUACAUCGAGGACUUCCUGUUGACCUACAGGACUUUCCUCUCCAGCCCCAUGGUCGUGGGCAAGAAGCUCUUGGAGUGGUUCCACGACCCAAGUCUCAGGGACAAGGUCACACGGGUGGUCCUGCUGUGGGUCAACAAUCACUUCAAUGACUUUGAGGGUGACCCUGCCAUGACUCACUUUCUGGAAGAGUUUGAAAACAACCUGGAGAGAGAAAAAAUGUGCGGUCACCUGCGACUGUUAAACAUAGCGUGCGCCGCCAAGGCCAAGCCACGGCUAGUGACGCUGACCAAGCCGUCCAGGGAAGCGCCGUUGGCCUUCAGCCUCCUUGGCGGGCAGGAGAAAGGCUUCCGUGUAUUCAUCGAUGCCGUGGAGCCUGGGAGCAAGGCAGCAGAGGCCGGCCUUAAACGAGGGGAUCAGAUUCUGGAGGUGAAUGGUCAGAAUUUUGAGAAUGUCCAACUCAGCAAAGCCAAUGAGAUUCUGAAGAACAACACCCACUUGUCCAUAACUGUGAAAACCAAUCUAUUAGUCUUCAAGGAACUACUAACCAGGCCCGAGCAGGACCAUGACGUCGACGGCGAGGAGGAACACGACAGGAAGAACGGUGCGCCCCACCUCCCCAAAAUCGGGGACAUCAAGAAGGCCAGUCGCUACUCCAUACCCGACCUGGCGGUGGACGUGGAGCAGGUGAUGGGCCUGGAGAAGGCCAACAAGAAGGCCAAGACCAACACUGUGGGUGGACGCAACAAGCUCAAGAAGAUCUUCGAUAAGACGCUCACUAGCAUCCUGCCACCUAAACCCUACAAUGACGUGUGCGUGGGGCAGUCGCAGGAUGACAGCAUCGUCGGCAUGAAGCAGUCCAAACAGAUCCCCCCGGCGCUGCCCGUCAGCGGAAACCUCUCGUCUUCAAACCCGGACCUCCUGCAGUCCCACCACCGCAUCCUGGACUUCAACAAUCAGCCCGAAAUGUCCGACCAGGUGUUGCGGGUCUUCAAAGCAGAUCAACAGUCCCGCUACAUCAUGAUCGGGAAGGACACCACGGCCAAAGAGGUGGUGGUGCAGGCCAUUAGGGAGUUUGCCUUGACGGCGGCACCUGAGGCGUAUUCGCUAUGCGAGGUGUCCGUCACCCCCGAGGGCGUCAUCAAACAGAGGCGGCUACCGGAUCAGUUGUCGAAGCUAGCGGACAGGAUACAGCUCAGCGGAAGAUACUACUUGAAGAGCAACAUGGAGACGGAGACGCUCUGUUCGGACGAGGACGCCCAGGACCUUCUCCGCGAGGGCCAGAUCUCCCUGCUGCAGCUGAGCACGGUGGAGGUGGCCACUCAGCUGUCCAUGCGUGCCUUCGAGCUCUUCUGCGCCAUCGAGCCCACCGAGUACAUCGACGACCUCUUCAAGCUGCGCUCCAAGGCGGGUUCGGCUAGCCUCAAGCGCUUCGAGGAGGCCAUCAACCACGAGACCUUCUGGGUGGCCACCGAGGUGACGCGCGAGCCCAAUCAGCUCAAGCGCAUGAAAACGGUCAAGCACUUCAUCAAGAUCGCGUUGCACUGCCGCGAGUGCAAGAACUUCAACUCCAUGUUUGCCAUCAUCAGCGGUUUGAACCUAGCGCCCGUCUCCAGGCUGCGAGGGACGUGGGAGAAGCUUCCCAGCAAGUACGAGAAGCUCUUUGGCGACCUGCAGGACCUCUUUGACCCCUCCAGGAACAUGGCCAAGUACAGGAACGUCCUCAACAACCAGAACCUCCAGCCACCCAUCAUCCCGCUCUUCCCUGUCAUCAAGAAGGAUCUCACCUUCUUACACGAAGGUAACGACUCCAAAGUGGACGGCUUGGUGAACUUUGAGAAGCUAAGAAUGAUCGCCAAAGAGAUCCGCCAUGUGGGUCGCAUGGCUUCGGUCAACAUGGACCCCGCUCUCAUGUUCAGGACCCGGAAGAAGAAGUGGAGAAGUUUAGGCAGCUCUCUGAGUCAGGGCAGCGCCAACGCGGCCGUGCUGGACGUCAACCAGACGGGCGGCCACAAGAAGCGAGUUCGCCGCAGCUCCUUCCUCAACGCCAAGAAGCUCUACGAGGACGCCCAGAUGGCCCGCAAGGUCAAGCAGUAUCUGUCCAACCUGAGCCUGGAGAUCAACGAGGAGAGCUUGCAGACGCUGUCGCUGCAGUGCGAGCCCUCCAUUAGCACGCUGCCCAAGAACGCUGGCGGCAAACGGCCCGACACGUCCCCCGUGGUGUCCAGAGCAGCCAGCCAACAGAGAGGCCAGCUCGCCAAAGGGAGCCAGGCCCUCCAGGUGCCCGCUGUGGCACUUUACCCUUCCCGCAAGAAGGUGCCCGUCAAGGAUCUGCCUCCUUUUGGCACCAGUUCUCCUCAGUCGCUGAAGAAGAUCCUGUCUUUGUCGGAGGAGGCCAGCGAGAGGCAUCGGAGGCAUCCAGAGGACACGCCGUCCAACGCCUCCUCCCAGCUUUCUUCGCCGCCCACCUCCCCCCAGAGCUCCCCUAAGAAGGGUUACAACCGCAUGGGCGACGCCUACUCGGACUCGGGUCACAGCGAGAUCUCGUCACGCUCCAGCCUGGUCAGUAACUUAUCUUUCGACAUGGCGCAUGACGACCGGAGGCUGCGGCACUCGGGAGGAGUCGGGGAUUCCCACGUGGGAGCCCGGUUGGAACGGCGAGCCACCACCGACCCCGACCAGUACAGCCUGGGGUCUUACUCAUCGAUGCAGGACUGUCGGGGCAUCUACGCCGGCUGCCCAACGGUACUCUCCUCGCCCAGUUCGGAAGAACUGACCCAGGAUCAGGGCGACCGCGUGUCCCUGGAUGCCGCCGACAGCGGCCGAGGCUCGUGGACAUCCUGCUCGUCCGGGUCACAUGACAACAUCCAGACCAUGCAGCAGGGCCGCAGCUGGGAGACGCUGUCCUUCGGAGGGGGGCUCCCGCCCGGCGGCUCCGAGGCCUUGCUAGGCGGGCCCGCCGCGUUGUGGGCGGCCCAAGCGAGGGGGAGCUGGGCCUCGGCCAGCUCGUCAUCAUCCUCGGCCGCUUACUGGGGGGAGGACUCGGAGGGGGACACGGGCACCAUCAAGAGGAGGGGCGGCAAGGACGUCAACGCCGAUCCGGAGACGAGUAGCAUCACGUCCACGGGGUCUGAGGAGGCCAAGCAGAUCGGCCGGCCGUCGCCGUCGCCCAUCACCGCUGGCUGUAAGGGUCUUAUCUCCCGGAAAGAAGGGCGAUACCGCGAGCCUCCCCCGACCCCGCCCGGCUACACGGCUCUGACCCUCUCCGACCUCGCCGAAGGCCAGCACCCGCCGCCCUCGCCGGCCCCCGCGUCCAUCAGCGCCGCCAGCACCACCUCCGCCGCCGCCGCCGCCACCACCACGGCGACGUCGCGCCGGCCGCCUGACUACACCACCGCACUGCAGCGUUCUCGCAUGGUGACGCAGUCGCCCGACUCGCAAGCCCACCAGCAGACGUCCAAGCAGAAUCGGGGUGGCAGCGGCGGGGGCCUUCAGCGCACGCGCUCGCCCGCGGAGGACCACGAGGCCGAGCAGGAAGAGGAAGAGGAGGGUGAGUCCUUGUCUCCCAAACUUGUCGCUCUGAGGAAGCCGAGGGCGCACCGCGCAUCCCAGACCCCCCGACCGUGACAAGAGUGUGUGUGCAGAGGGGGCGGGGUGUAAUAAAGGCAGGGCUCCUCCCCCCCCACACGGCAGAUGACGAGCAGGUGUCGGCGGUCUGAGAGGCCACGCCCGGGACGGAUGGACAGAUGGAUGGAAAAGCGGGCGGGUGUUAGAGACGGACAGAGGGCCGAUAGACUCUCAUCAUCAGUUACGUACGUGCCUGCUCUGCCUCCUGAUUGGUGGACUCCUCCUCGUCCCCCCUGCCUUAAAGCAUCAUGGGGGGUUGAACGACCCUGCAUGCAAAAAAAUCAAAUACUGUGAAGAAGAAGAAGAAGAAGAAGAAGAAGAAGAAGAAGAAGAAGAAGAAGAAGAAGAGGUCAAACGCUUGGCACUUUGGACAAUAAUAAAUAGAAAAAACACAGACUUUGACAAGCAGAGGACAGUCUGGAUGUGAUGUUUGCACUUUGCUCGUCUCUCCAUCAAGUAUUUGAACCCUCGACCCCCCCCUCCAGUAUUAGCGCACACACACACACACACCUACACACACACCUAGCACUUUGAGCACAAUGCUAGCGGACACGCGGCCUCCUGGACACCAGGGUAAGAGUGGACCAUCAAUGGAUCAUCUUCGUCUUCUGCCCAAAAGCACAAAAACAAGCUGAGAAUUUUUUUUUUGGGGGGGGGUUAAGGACAUGGAACCGGGGUGGGGGUUUUGGCUGUCAAUCAUGACAUCCUCUUUUAAAGAAGACGACAACGUUGUGUGAAUGUCCAAAGCGCCUUACAAACCACAUGACUUGCUUUUGUUUUUUUUUUUGUAGGAUCAAAGGAGACACACCCCCCACACACACAGCCCCCACCCCCAAAACCCCCAACCCCAGAGUGAAAUGCCUUAUUCGAGAUUUGGAGGUGAUUCCCCUCUUCUGUUAUGGCCGCUUCUUUCCAACAUCAUCGCUCCCCCACCCCCAAACCAAAACACUGACUGAACCUUUUUCAUUUUUUCAGACUUCGGUGGAGAAGUUUAAAAAAAAAAAACACCAAGAACCAUCAGUGACCUGAUGAAAUGAUGGAAAUAUGGAAAUAUGGAAAUAUGACCACAGUUGUCAUUUUACCAGAAUAAAGUGUCCCAUUUAAGAAUUCAAAUAUAUUAUUUUCAUGAGAAUAAAUUUGUAUCGUUAAGGAGAAAAUCUGUAUUAAUUUUCCUGCUAAUACAUUCAUUCAAAUGAUACUGGAAAAAAAAGAUAAAAGAUUUAUGUCUCAUUAAUACAACAUAUGGCAUAUUUAUGAUUUAUGACAAUAAUAUUACUAGUGGGGGAAAUAAAUUUUCAUUGAUAUUUUAAAUAAAUAUAAUUGUAAUAGAAUAAAAUGGCGAUAAUUACAGCAAAGUUACAUGAUAAUUAAGUAUUAUUAAAAGUCACACUUAAUAUAUUCCAAUAACUUUAUGACUAUGAAUUUAUUCUGGUAAUUUGACUACUUUUUCUCCGUAGCAUCACAAACUCCGCCCCCCCCCAAAAUGAAGAUGAUAUUGUGAGGAUGUCCAUCUUUAUUGGUGCAAGUUGUGUGUGUGUGUGGGGGGGGGGGGGUGAUAUUCCUGGUAGAAUCAGGAGUCCGGCUGUCAACGUUUUCCUCAAUCCCAGAUUGACGCUGAUCACAUUGAUCAGUUUUUUGGGGGGGAGAUUUAAAAAAAAAAAAAAAAAAAAAACAUCAAGGAGACGAUGAGACUGAAAACGGUGCCGUGUUUUCCACUGCGACGACACUAAAAACAUGUUUUUUUUGUUUCUUUUUUCGGUAUCGUGAUUUUUUUUGUUUUAUACGCUCCACGGCGUGUCGAUGGACGAGCGAGCGGUCGGGCUGCCAGCUCCUUUGGAAAAGUACCGUUGCACAAAGAGCGUAAAGAUUUGGUGUAGUGGCCGUAGAAGUGCUACUGUUUUUUUGACGUGUGAUGUCGGUGAAGACGUGUACAUUUUAGCUGGUGAUGUUCUCUCUCUCUUCCUUCUUGUACUACCGACCACCAUUCCCGCCUCUAUGUCUUUUACAAAGACCAUUGGUGGAGUACCGGAACUAUCUUUUCAUUUCCUCUUUCUUUUCUUUUUGUAUUUUUAAUACAAUAAUUGUACAUAUUGGUUAUAUUUUUGUUGAAAUGUAUUAUUGUUUAUGCCUCAACAUCCAGUUUGUAUGAAAAGCUGGGAAUCAAUAAAUACCGCAUACAGAAUUCCUUUUUUUUCCUUGUUGCUUCUCAGAAAGACGCAUCGAGUUUACGUGACCUUGUGUGACUUUGUGGCGAUGCCAUCCAUCUUCCACCAAGCCAGUUGGGUGCCAUGUCUUCCCCAAGGACUUCUACCGGUUAGACGUGCCCUGAACACCCCCCCCCCCCCCUCUCCC